rnacentral:tRNA from 1 species
UAGCUCAAUGGUAGAGUGUGUGCCUAGCAUGCACGAGGUCCUGGGUUCAAUCCCUAG